rnacentral:rRNA from 1 species
CCUACGGGAGGCAGCAGUGGGGAAUUUUGGACAAUGGGCGCAAGCCUGAUCCAGCAAUGCCGCGUGCAGGAUGAAGGCCUUCGGGUUGUAAACUGCUUUUGUACGGAACGAAACGGUGAGCUCUAAUAAAGUUUGCUAAUGACGGUACCGUAAGAAUAAGCACCGGCUAACUACGUGCCAGCAGCCGCGGUAAUACGUAGGGUGCGAGCGUUAAUCGGAAUUACUGGGCGUAAAGCGUGCGCAGGCGGUUAUAUAAGACAGAUGUGAAAUCCCCGGGCUCAACCUGGGACCUGCAUUUGUGACUGUAUAGCUAGAGUACGGUAGAGGGGGAUGGAAUUCCGCGUGUAGCAGUGAAAUGCGUAGAUAUGCGGAGGAACACCGAUGGCGAAGGCAAUCCCCUGGACCUGUACUGACGCUCAUGCACGAAAGCGUGGGGAGCAAACAGGAUUAGAUACCCUGGUAGUCCACGCCCUAAACGAUGUCAACUGGUUGUUGGGUCUUCACUGACUCAGUAACGAAGCUAACGCGUGAAGUUGACCGCCUGGGGAGUACGGCCGCAAGGUUGAAACUUAAAGGAAUUGACGGCUGAGAGNGCGAGACGACGACGAGGGAGGAGG